rnacentral:rRNA from 1 species
UACGUAGGGGGCAAGCGUUGUCCGGAUUUAUUGGGCGUAAAGAGCGUGUAGGCGGUUUUACAGGUCCGCUGUGAAAACUCGAGGCUCAACCUCGAGCUGUCGGUGGAAACCAUCUGGCUAGAGUCCGGAAGAGGAGAAUGGAAUUCCCGGCGUAGCGGUGAAAUGCGCAGAUAUCGGGAAGAACACCCGUGGCGAAGGCGGUUCUCUGGGACGGUACUGACGCUGAGACGCGAAAGCGUGGGAGCGAACAGG